rnacentral:rRNA from 1 species
AGUGAACGCUGGCGGUAGGCCUAACACAUGCAAGUCGAACGGCAGCACAGUAAGAGCUUGCUCUUACGGGUGGCGAGAGGCGGACGGGUGAGGAAUACAUCGGAAUCUACUUUUUCGUGGGGGAUAACGUAGGGAAACUUACGCUAAUACCGCAUACGACCUACGGGUGGAAGCAGGGGAUCUUCGGACCUUGCGCGAUUGAAUGAGCCGAUGUCGGAUUAGCUAGUUGGCGGGGUAAAGGCCCACCAAGGCGACGAUCCGUAGCUGGUCUGAGGAUGAUCAGCCACACUGGAACUGAGACACGGUCCAGACUCCUACGGGAGGCAGCAGUGGGGAAUAUUGGACAAUGGGCGCAAGCCCGAUCCAGCCAUACCGCGUGGGUGAAGAAGGCCUUCGGGUUGUAAAGCCCUUUUGUUGGGAAAGAAAAGCAGCAGGUUAAUACCCCGCUGUUCUGACGGUACCCAAAGAAUAAGCACCGGCUAACUUCGUG